CCCCGGUAAACGGCGGCCGUAACUAUAACGGUCCUAAGGUAGCGAAAUUCCUUGUCGGGUAAGUUCCGACCUGCACGAAUGGCGUAAUGAUGGCCAGGCUGUCUCCACCCGAGACUCAGUGAAAUUGAACUCGCUGUGAAGAUGCAGUGUACCCGCGGCAAGACGGAAAGACCCCGUGAACCUUUACUAUAGCUUGACACUGAACAUUGAGCCUUGAUGUGUAGGAUAGGUGGGAGGCUUUGAAGUGUGGACGCCAGUCUGCAUGGAGCCGGCCUUGAAAUACCACCCUUUAAUGUUUGAUGUUCUAACGUGGACCCGUGAUCCGGGUUGCGGACAGUGUCUGGUGGGUAGUUUGACUGGGGCGGUCUCCUCCUAAAGAGUAACGGAGGAGCACGAAGGUUGGCUAAUCCUGGUCGGACAUCAGGAGGUUAGUGCAAUGGCAUAAGCCAGCUUGACUGCGAGCGUGACGGCGCGAGCAGGUGCGAAAGCAGGUCAUAGUGAUCCGGUGGUUCUGAAUGGAAGGGCCAUCGCUCAACGGAUAAAAGGUACUCCGGGGAUAACAGGCUGAUACCGCCCAAGAGUUCAUAUCGACGGCGGUGUUUGGCACCUCGAUGUCGGCUCAUCACAUCCUGGGGCUGAAGUAGGUCCCAAGGGUAUGGCUGUUCGCCAUUUAAAGUGGUACGCGAGCUGGGUUUAGAACGUCGUGAGACAGUUCGGUCCCUAUCUGCCGUGGGCGCUGGAGAACUGAGGGGGGCUGCUCCUAGUACGAGAGGACCGGAGUGGACGCAUCACUGGUGUUCGGGUUGUCAUGCCAAUGGCACUGCCCGGUAGCUAAAUGCGGAAGAGAUAAGUGCUGAAAGCAUCUAAGCACGAAACUUGCCCCGA
rnacentral:rRNA from 1 species